GCUUGAGUUCACUAUAGACUCUGGAAGAUUUCAUAACAUCUACGACUAAACAGGAGAUGGUUGCAAAUGAGGCACUCAAGAAAGCUGCUCACAUGGCCAUUGGGUUCUUUUCCAGGAGAAUGUCGAACUGCCACUCUGGUGGGGAAAAUCUCCUCAGCUGGAGGCAUGUUCCCAGAACACAAAAUAUGCUGUGGAUUACGGCAGAACUUCCAGACAGCUAAUAAUCUUGUGCCUUUUGCUUUUGUUUGUAGCAGGAUAAACAUCAUAUUGAUAGGCUGUAUGUCACGUUUUGCUGAACAGUGCAAUCUCCCAGGAGGAACAGGAGAGAUAAAACAGAAAACCCCUGGUGGGUGGGUAGGACUGCCCUCAGGCACACCCUUCCCCUGCCUAAUUAAGAGCUCCUAUUCCAUUCAGCAGGCCAUAAUGGAGACUUUAAUGAAAUGGGUCCGACUGUCCCUGGGGAAGCUGUAUAAUUAGUCCUGGAGUGCUGCUUUUCUGAGAUAGCAGCCACGGCUUUGGCCAGCUUUGUAUGGAGCAAGAACCCACUCUGCAGUGGACAAAGAAAUCCGUGGGAUGCUCUGGCAAGCCGUGGUUUCCCAGCACAGUAACAGAGUGAACGGGAGCACUGCAACUCUAAAUGCCACUGAAAAAAGAUGCUCCUUCCCAAGUGUUUCAUGCUAAAUAUCCAAUGUUUAUAUGUGACAACCUGUCAGCCCCGAAUCCAAACAACAAGUGCACGUUCCAGGCCUUGGCAUUAAGGUGGUGAUGGGAGUGGGGUGCUUCUCUCCUCUCCUGGUCUGAACCUCAGGAGCCUGCUUUGUCUGCCAACCAGGUUGCCCACAACAAAUGAAGGGAUGGGUUAGAGUCAGUGUUUUCUGCCAGAUGGAACAAAACCACCAUGGGAUUAGUGAGGGGCCCUGGUGUGCUAGGCACUGUGGGAGCAUGCACAAACUGCCCCUCCUCGUUGGCUUCCAUGAACUUCCAUGAAACUGGAAGUGUGUUUAACCAUAUUUCAUGUGAGUGAGCUAAUCAUGCUGGUCUGAAAACAGCCCUGCAUAGAAAUGCUGUGAAGGGAAGAAUCAAGCUGGUUUUCAGGGGAAUUUACGGGUUCUCAGCUGCUCUGGGGGCAGGAUGAAAAAACGGGAGACAGUAGAGUCAGUGUUUGUUUCUCUUAAGCCACAGGGAUGGAUGGGGAACAUCUGAGGAACUUCUUGUGUUACAGAUCUGCUCAGUUUUCCAGCCUGUUAUGCCUGGUUUUUGGGGGAAAAGAGAGGCAACCAUUUGCUGUAAAGGUUUUUGGUAAUGGAGGAUUGUGGGAAGUCUGAAAGGAAACUGCAUAAGGACAUUGGACUAAAUCCCAAAUGGUGCUAAUCUAUCUAAAACUAUUGAAUUUGGAUGCACUCAGUGCUUCUCAAGCUUUAGUCUUCUGCAUUUGGGCCCAAAACCCCUGUAAGCUUAUAUUUCAGAAAAAUUUUGGAGCAAAAAGAUGAAGUAUUUUACUAUGAAUUUUAUUGGAGGCUAGAGGGUGCAUAAUUAGAUACUAAAGAGAAAAAACCAAAUCAACCUAUACCUGCUAUUCUAACUGACCUGAGAAAUACAUUAAAAAUUACUUUUGCUUCAGAUCUAGCAAAAGCAGUUGGCACAGUGUUCAACAAACUGGAAGCAGAACAACUGAUUUCAAUAUUUUGUCAAAUUUAACUCUUAUGUCACUCAUAAUUAAUAUCUCAGAUUCAGAUAUCUGAUAUGUUGAAUGUUUAUUUUGUUAUUAUAUUAAGGCUUGAAUCACUUCCACUUUGCAUUGGAUGGAUGCAGCCUAUAUGAAAAUUCAGGUGCUGCCAGGCUACAAUCAUGUAAUGUGACAUGAAAGUCUCACUCUUUUCCCAUUCCCCUUUUCCUCUUUCCACAUGGUGAGGGGUAGUUUUGAAUAUCCCCCCAGCAGACCUCGUAAUAAAAUGAUGCAGCAGCCAGGGUGUGAUUGACAUGUAUUCUUUGGCUGUAAUUCCUCCUGUGCUGCAUGGAGAUUGCCAGUGCAAUCAGGAGGUUCUGGCACAUCAGGGCCAAAGAAAAGCUCGUGGAUGAGUUGCAAUUUGAGUUGAAGUGUUAGUACUGUAACAAAGAAACUUGGAGUCUGGGCUAACAGUGUGAUUAAAACAUCUUUAGCCCAGAUAAAUCUUAAACUUUUCUCGAUAUUCCCAUUUUUCACUAGGAGUUGCUUUGGAGGCAGAUGCUUUUCCAUUAGAUCUCUCUUCUCUGACCCAUCAGUUGUUUUCCGCCAUCCUCAUGUAUUUAGAACUUUAAAGACAGUUACACUCUGAAGUAGUCUGAGACUAAGUAGUCUGAGUCUGAGUCCUAAGCAGAAGGAUAGAUGGAACCAUUUUUCUGUCUAGCACUUCUGUCUUGCCCCUGGUAUGUCUUGGACAGGUUUUGUCCUAGGUCCCAGUUCUACAGGGAACUUAAAGAGAGUCCAGGUGUCUUCUGAGCUAAGCUUGUCUUUGUAUGUGAUAACACUCACAACCACAGAUCACUUAACCCUGAGUUUAUAAUAUUUUCAUUAGCUUCAGAAUCAAGGCCUUAAAUUUUAGAAGCUAACAGUGAAACCUCAGUGCAUACCAAGAAAUGACAAUGACUUAACUGUUACCCCAUUAAAAAGUCACAACAACAGUGCCUUAAGGACAACAGAUUUAUUUGGUUUUGUACAAUAACCAUAUUGGCUGCUUUUCAAUGGAAAAGUGAAAGUAGCUGAGUGGUUCAGAACCUUGGGCAAACUCCCUGAGCAAUACAAUAUAUUAUCCUGAUUUCUGUGUCUUUAUCAGUGCUUAGCCAGCUCCAGCCACAGAAGAGCACAUCAUUUCCCAAGGAACACUAAAAAAUUCAAUUAAAAUUACUGGUGAACUUCCUACAAGGUGUCUUGCUAAUUUCCAUGCUGCUCCCUAUGGUUUUGACCUGGUAAAAGUAAGCUACAUUUUUUUUUUCCUUUUUAUGCUUUAAUUACUCUUUCCCCUGCAUGGACAAGUGGCAACACCGAUGACCAUUCUGUGGGAGACCAGGACUUGGGGCUGUUGUGAUUCCAAACUAACCUGGGAGCUGCAGGGGCCAGCCCUCUGUCCUCACCUGCCUCUGUGUUUGCCAUCAGUGUUGGGCAGGAGGGAAAGUGUAGCAAUAACACAAAUUGGUGCUAUUCAAUAUAGAUGUGCACAGGUAUGCUUACACAGACAGAAAGAGCAUUUAUUGCACCAGCUUUAGCCAGUGGUGCACUUAUGGAAAAAACAUGUACAUGCUCUAAAGUCAGAGCUCUUUCAUUCCAUGGUACUCACAUAUUUUGCUCUACUCUAAACUUGGGUUGGCCAAGUGCAUGGUCAUGACCAUUCUCCCACAGAGUGGAUUUAUACACCUGGCUGUUCAGGCAAUGGCUCAGUACCCUCUGUAUGGGUUCCUGCAGUUAGGCAUAAAGAAAGGAAUUAAAGAGCAAGGGCUUUGUGCUGUUUGUUUUGUCUUUUGCUCUUUCCCUGUGUAAGGUUCUGCUUGGUGGGUGGAAAGAAGAAGGAGGAGAAAGACAUGAGAAUGUGGAGAGCAAGCACAUCACAGGGAGGUUGUAGCCUCCUUCCCUCCAGAUCCCUGGUUAUCCCUGUCUGCCACCCCAGGAACUCGUAGAAAGAUCUUCAAGCCCAGUGUGAGUCAGCUUCCCUGCAGCAGUGGCAGUGCUGGAGCAGUCAGCUUGCUCACAUCAGCAAAGCAGACCAUGAUGAAGGCAGCUGGAACUGCACACUUUCACCUUCCAGCAAGGUAUUCACAUGUAGCUCAAGCAGCUACUUGAGCACAGCACACAUGAGGGCAGAGCUGGGAUGUGAAAAGGUUUUCACACCUGCUUUCCUGGGAGGCUGAAGUUUGGGGCUGGAAUGGAAGGGACCCGAUGGGCACCAGAGAUCUCCGUCUGUGUCGCUAUCAUCAGCUACCACCCAGAGCCCCACAAGAAGGUGGGUUCCACAGGGAGACUUGCAUAACCUCCUCGGUGAGAUCAUGUCAGGUGGCCACAUCACGGGUGCCUGGGACUGCAGGCUCUGCUGGACCUGUCUGCAAUUCCUCAGCCCAGUCCUGCUGAGAGCUUUCACACGUGCCUAAAGCUCUUGAACAGAAGAAGGCACUUUGGAGAACAGAUUGUACACAAUUUGCUAAAAAACAGCCAGGAGAUUUUUCAAGCACCGUUUCCAGGUGUUAUUUUUCAUCAUCCAAAGGGUCCAUUAGAAUAACCCACCAUGCAUCAUGAUAGACCUCACCCGGGAACAGCCGUAAAGACAGAAGGGCAGCAGGUUCCUGCUACACACCCCAGUAACCCACAGCCUCCCUCUGUGCACACAACUCCCACGCAUGCAGUAAAACCUGAUUUAAGUGCCAGCAGAGAGACUGCUUGAAGAGGAGCUUGGCACCAUGUUUCUUGGUCCCACCAAAUCUGGAUUAUGAUGGAUACCAUAAAUACAUAAAUGAAAUGUUUCCAUCUGAAAACCCUGUACUAUAUGGACUGCACCCCAAUGCUGAGAUGGGAUUCUUGACAACAUCAGAUAAUCUCUUCAAAACUCCUUUGGAAAACAACCCAUGGGAGAGGGAUCAGGCCAAUUUGCAGUUAAAGAGGGGAAGCUGAUCUUUUCUGCUCACAUGGAAGUGCUGCAGUACACACUCUUCUGUGAUGUUGUGCCAGACACAUGGACUAAGCCAGCAUAUCCAUCCACACACAGCUUUAUCCACUGCUGUAAUGCAAUGCAGGAAAAACUGGCUUUUGGAUAAGGUGUGCUCGACUGCAGAUGUUACCAAAAGACCAAAGAGCCUGUAUCUAUCUGUGUGCCUUCCAUGCAAGACAGCUGUCAGUAUAAGGGCAAUACAGUUCAUUCCUCCUGCGGAGAUGAGAAAAGUAUCAAGGAACCUUGCACAGGAUUUGCCCCAGAGCACAAGAAGGCAAGAAGUCAAUUGUUAUUGAAAUGGCUACAACAGUUUAAAAAGGAAUGACCAGAGGGCAGAACUCUUACCUUUCCAGGCUCAAGAAUGGUACUUACUGGAUCAAGCAGAGCUGACUUCACAUCUUCACCGUAUCGAUUUCGAAGACAUGGUCCACAGAACUGCCCCCUUACUCCUCCACAGCCCUGGUUGCGACAGAUUGUCUUUGUA